rnacentral:rRNA from 1 species
UGACGCUGGCGGAUGUUUACACAUGCAAGUCGAACGGCAGCACGGACUUCGGUCUGGUGGCGAGUGGCGAACGGGUGAGUAAUACAUCGGAACGUGCCCAGUCGUGGGGGAUAACGUAGCGAAAGCUACGCUAAUACCGCAUACGAUCUAAGGAUGAAAGCGGGGGAUCGCAAGACCUCGCGCGAUUGGAGCGGCCGAUGGCAGAUUAGGUAGUUGGUAGGGUAAAGGCCUACCAAGCCGACGAUCUGUAGCUGGUCUGAGAGGACGACCAGCCACACUGGGACUGAGACACGGCCCAGACUCCUACGGGAGGCAGCAGUGGGGAAUUUUGGACAAUGGGCGAAAGCCUGAUCCAGCCAUUCCGCGUGCAGGAUGAAGGCCCUCGGGUUGUAAACUGCUUUUGUACGGAACGAAAAGGUCCUGGUUAAUACCUGGGGCUCAUGACGGUACCGUAAGAAUAAGCACCGGCUAACUACGUGCCAGCAGCCGCGGUAAUACGUAGGGUGCAAGCGUUAAUCGGAAUUACUGGGCGUAAAGCGUGCGCAGGCGGUGAUGUAAGACAGAGGUGAAAUCCCCGGGCUCAACCUGGGAACUGCCUUUGUGACUGCAUCGCUGGAGUACGGCAGAGGGGGAUGGAAUUCCGCGUGUAGCAGUGAAAUGCGUAGAUAUGCGGAGGAACACCGAUGGCGAAGGC